AGUCAAGACCACUUGCAGGCAGAAAUCUUUUUUCUCUUUUAAUAUUCGUAUUGCGUAUACAUUCGGAUUGCACACAAGUUUAACUAUUAGGCUUGCACAGUUUUCUUAGACUUUUUUUUUUAAAGUUCACAAUCUAUUGAACCUAAGCAUGGCUGCAAACUGAAACUACAUAUAGCAAAAAUAAAAAUAAAAAAUAAAUCAUCAGAAUCCUUCAUACAAAGCUGUUUACUACUUGCGAAGUGUUGAUGAUCCCUGCACGUUUAAAGACACACGUGGCUUUGGAUUACGGAAUCAAUGCUCAUCAGCUACAUGUGACUGAUUUCAUCAUGAACUCUGACAAAAGCUGAGUUUCUCUGAAAACUGGCAACAUUCUCUUGAUUCCUGUUUCUUGGCUGGACUCAGUGUCCCUGGUGGUGAGCACACAACUUAUUUAAAAUGGCACAGAACUGCUCUAAUUCGGAGAUUCAAAGGUGUGAAGAUCUUCAAGCAUCUCAAGCCUCACACUUUCUUGUCAACGUGCUGUACAACAAGUGGACAGUAAGCACCUGGCUCUGUUUUUACUGCCUCAAGCAACAAAUUACGCUAAUGUUCACAUUUCUCUACUUCUAAAGAGAUUGAAUGAAUGCAAACCUCAAAAAGAGAUGGGGAAGGAUCACCUCCUCAGUGCCUGCUACCAGCUUCAAACCAUGGGGUCAGCACAGAGAGAAACUACUUCCUACAACUACUGCAAGCACAGAAGAACUCUGAUUUAGUAGAGGUUGGCAACCCCGCCUUUGGCAGAGAGUUCAUCAAGCCUCAGGAGAUCUGAGCUACAGAAAUUUACUAAACAGAUUCCAGGCUUGUUUUUUUAAAGCGCCAUAUCAAGAUUCUUGUACACUGAGGGGAUUGGGAAAACAACAUCCUUCUCAUCGUAAGCGAAGACCAGGUUUGUGACCACUUGAGGAACCUGAACAAAUCUAUCAGCCCCGAUGAGAUGCAUCCUAGAGCCCUGAGGGAACUGGCUGAUGUAGCCACCAAGCCAUUCCCAAUGAUAUUUGAAAAGUCCUGGCAAUCAGGUGAAGUCCCUGGUGAACUGUUAAAAAGGCAACAUCACACCCAUUAGUAAGAAAGGUAAAAGGAGGAUCCUGGAAACUACCGUCCUAUCAGUCUCAGCUCUGUGCUGGGAAAGAUCAUGGAGCAGAUCCUCCUGGAAACUAUGCCAAGGCACAUGAAAGAUAGGGAGGUGAUACUGGAGAAUCAGCAUGACUUCACCAUGAGCAAAUUCUGCUUGACCAACACAGUGGCCUUCUAUAAUAGUGUCACUGCAUCAAUGGACAAGGGAAGAGCCACUGAUGUCAUCUAUAUGGAGUUCAGCAAGGCUUCUGACAUGGUCUCCCAAAACAUUCUUCUCUCCAAAUUGGAAAGAUAUGGAUUUGAUGGAUGGACUGUUCAGUGGAUGAAGAAUCAGCUACAGGAUCAAGUCCAGAGAGUGGUGGUCAAUGGUUCCACAUCUGGAUGGAGACCAGUGAUGAGUGGUGUCCCUCAGGGUCAGUGCUGGGACUGAUACUCUUUAAUAUUUUCAUCAGUGACGUGGACAGUGGGGUCGAGCGCACCCUUAGCAAGUUUUCUGAUGACACCAAGCAGAGGGGUGCAGUCAACACACCAGAGCGACGGGAUGCCAUCCAGAGGGACCUAGACAGGCUGAAAAGUGGGCCCAGGUGAACCUCAUGAGGUUCAAUAAAUCCGAAUGCAAGAUCUUGCCCCAGAGUCACAGUAAUCCUCACUACCAAUAUAAGCUGGGAGACGAAAGGAUUGGGCAUAGCCCUGCUGAAAAGAACCUGGGGGUACUGGUGGAUGGGAAGCUGGAUAUUGAGCCAGCAAUGAGCCCUCACAGCCAACUGUAUCCUGGGAUGCAUCAAAAGAAGUAUGGCCAGCAGGUCAAGGGAGAUGACCUUGCUUCUAUGCUCUGCACUCCAAGGUCUCACCUGGAGUAUUGCUUCCAGGUGUGGAGUCCUCAGUACAGGGGAGACAUAGACCUUUUGGAACAUCACAAAAAUGAUCAAAGGGGUGGAACACCUUUCCUGUAAGGGCAAGCUGAAAGAGAUGGGGCUUUUCAGCCUGGAGAAGAGAAGGCUGCAAGGUGACCUGACAGCAGCCUUUCUAUAUCUAACAGGGAGCUACAGGAAAGAAAGGGACAGACUCUUUAGCUGUGUCUGUAGUAAUAGAACAAGGGGAAAUGCUUUCAAGCUCAAAGAGGGUAGAUUUAGGUUGGAUUUAAGGAAGAAGUUUUAACAGUGAGGGUGGUGAGGCACUGGAGCAGAUUGCCCACAGGGGUGGUGGAAGCCCCGUACUUCAAGACACUCAAGGUCAGGCUGGAUGGGGCUCAGAGCAGCCUGAUCUAGCUGUAGGUUUACUUGUUCAUUGCAGGGGAGCUGAACUAGAUGGCCUUUAAAGGGCCCUUCCAAACUCUAAAGUUUCUACGAUUCUAUGAUUCUAUUCUACGAAAAGAUAAACUUGCUGCAGACAAUGAGAUGAAAUGGGAUAGAUGCGCUGAAGUAUUGAUAGGUAGCUUACUUAUAUUACAGCCAGAUUUUGAAAGCUGAUUUAUGUAGGAAGGGAGAUACAACGUAAAAAUGUCAGACUUUAGCCAAAAUUUUCAAAGUAGUCAAAGUACUGCUUUUCUUGCAAUGUACUUUCAAACAUCUUUUGACUCAUAAAAAUUCAUUCAAACUACUUCUCUAGCCUAGUUAGGGGAUGAUCGACUAUUUGCAGCCAGUGAGAACAUGGAGUACCUAUUUCGUAGAAAUAUGCAGCUUACUCCGGUUAUAUGCAUAGAAAGUCAAAUUUCAGUAGCAAGUGUCCCAGGACCAUGAGAAAACAUCAAAUAAAUUGAUGAGAGCUGUACAAAAUCUAUUGUCAUAUUUUGAACCAAUGGAGAAAACAAACAAGACUGCAGAAACUAAUGUUCUUUUCUGACAGUUUGUUGUUAUGAGAAACAUGAAGAACACAUUUCUAUUGAAGAUAAAACUCAUCUAGCCACAAUCAGUGUUUAAUUGGAGAAUGUGAAUUAUUGAAUAUGUUCUUCUGUUCUCUUCAGGCUUUAAAACUAGAGCCAUGAAGACUCAAAUCGUGAUGUGAAAAAAAUCAAAAAGCACAUUGCUCUGAAUCAUUUUAUAAUGUUCUUUAUCUCUUUUUGACUUCAACAUUUUCAGCAGUAAAUUCAACUGAAGCUAAAAGCAAAAAAUAUUAAAGAUGAAUCACUUUGUACAUGGGCAGGGAAGAUAUUUUAAACAAACCAAAACUAAACAAUAAAUCUUUAUCAAGUCAAGCUCUGUUGCAGUUAGUAUAGUUUUCAUCAGCUCCUCUGCUUGUGACUACAGUGUCUGUCUGAUCCUAGAAACUCUUUACAGCUUUUAGUCUGUGUGCCCAGAUGUCAGUAAAAAGGUACCUGCCACAGGUACGGUUUUCUCUCUGAUGAUGUGUAUCCUACGGAAGGUUUUGUCAAAAGAGGACUUACUGAUACACUGCCCGAGGUAUCUUGGACUUGUCUCCAUCUGAGCUCCAAGGAGGUGAGUAGUCUACUCCGG
ensembl:lncRNA